UGAGCGGCAACAGCUCAAAUUUGAAAUCUGACUCCUUUGGGUGUCCGAGUUGUAAUUUGCAGAGGGUGCUUUGGCGUUGUCGGCGGUCUAAGUUCCUUGGAACAGGACAUCACAGAGGGUGAGAAUCCCGUUUGUGGUCGCCAGCCUUCGCCGUGUAAAGCCCCUUCGACGAGUCGAGUUGUUUGGGAAUGCAGCUCUAAAUGGGAGGUAAAUUUCUUCUAAAGCUAAAUACCGGCCAGAGACCGAUAGCGCACAAGUAGAGUGAUCGAAAGAUGAAAAGCACUUUGGAAAGAGAGUCAAAAAGCACGUGAAAUUGUUGAAAGGGAAGCGCUUGCAGCCAGACUUGCCCGUAGUUGCUCACCCGGACUUUUGCCCGGGGCACUCUUCUGCGGGCAGGCCAGCGUCAGUUUGGGCGGUUGGAUAAAGGCCUCUGUCAUGUAUCUCCCUUCGGGGUGACCUUAUAGGGGAGGCGUAAUGCAGCCAGCCCGGACUGAGGUCCGCGCUUUUGCUAGGACGCUGGCGUAAUGGCCGUAAGCGGCCCGUCUUGAAACACGGACCAAGGAGUCUAACAUCUAUGCGAGUGUUUGGGUGUCAAGCCCGAGCGCGCAAUGAAAGUGAACGGAGGUGGGAACCCUUUGGGUGCACCAUCGACCGAUCCUGAAGUCUUCGGAUGGAUUUGAGUAAGAGCAUAGCUGUUGGGACCCGAAAGAUGGUGAACUAUGCUUGAAUAGGGUGAAGCCAGAGGAAACUCUGGUGGAGGCUCGCAGCGGUUCUGACGUGCAAAUCGAUCGUCAAAUUUGGGCAUAGGGGCGAAAGACUAAUCGA
rnacentral:rRNA from 1 species